AGUGUUGUUUUGGCUCAAAAUGUCGUUCUCUCAGGAGGCUCCACCAUGUUCAGGGAUUUCGGACGCCGACUACAGAGGGAUUUGAAGAGAGUGGUGGAUGCUAGGCUGAGGCUCAGCGAGGAGCUCAGCGGCGGGAGGAUCAAGAGAUCAGGCCUGGGGUGUAAUGACCAGUGUCCCAAGGAGAUGGGACUGAUUUACGGUGAGGAUCUCUCCUAUCCUUCGGAAAUGUUCUCAUUAAAUGAAAAUAACUGAUGUUAGCAGGGAGUUAAGGCGUUUCUCCAAGAUAGUCAUU
rnacentral:lncRNA from 1 species